rnacentral:tRNA from 1 species
ACCUGACUGGCUCCACUGGUAGAGCAUCUGACCCUUGAUCUCAGGAUUGUGAGUUCGAGCCUCAUGCCAGGUG